UGGGUUCACCUGGGUAGUUCACCUGAUAUAAGGGUCAUCUGAUAUCAAAUCUGAAGUUAGUUCACUCGCCAGUUACACAGUAGUAAGCCAAUCUCUGACAUUGGGUGUAGUGGAAAAAAGUAGGAAUUUUAUUGCAAAGCACUGAGCAAGGAGAAGAGGCAGCUAACACUAUAAUCCCAAACUCCUGAAAAAGGUACAAGCAAGGGUUUUUAUUUAGGGUUUUAGGUAGGAGUUGGGGAGCAUGUGGCCUUGGGGGCAGAAGUUCUAAGAGUCCUCUGCACAGGAAUGACUGUCUGUUCUAUGUGUUGCAUGGUGGAUUUUUAGUCUUUGAUGUGUAAAGUUGACAGUCUUUUUAGCUUCUCAAUGUUCCUGCAAGAUGCUUACUCAGGAGGAGGCCUGUCAGCAAAUUCCUCUCUUAUCGGCGGUCCUCCUGCUGUUGUGCAAGGCAAGCUCAGAUGCUUUGGUUAUUUUGUUUCCCACGUUAACCUUGUGGGUCAAAGGCACAGUUUCACCCUAAUCCAGGGAAAUUUUAACUCCUUCAUCCUCAGUGUCAGUUCUUCUCCAUGUGGUGUGAGCUGUGGCUGCCGUUAUCUGAAGACUCAACCAGUUUGGAAUGUCCAAGAUGGCUCACUGGAGGUUCAACCGAUUUGGAAUGUCCAACGUGGUGGCCGUUGGUCUCUGCUGAAGGCUGGGAUCUCAUGCGGGGCUGUCACUUGGACACUUCAGUUCUCUUCCCUGUAGCCUCUCCAGGUGACUCGCUUAGGCUUCCUUAAAAGUAUUGUCGUUUCAGGAUAAUCAUACCUCUUCUCCAUGGUGGCUGGAUCCUAGGAGUACAAAAUUGGAAACCGUCAGGCCUUUUAAAGGCUUAGGACAGGAAUUAGCACAAACUUACUUCUGCAGCAUUCUCCUAUUUAAAUAAGUCACAAGGCCAGCUUAAAUUCAAGAGGAGGGCACUAAAUGAGGGGAACACCAGAAGGAGUUGUUCAUUAGUGCCCAUCGACAUAAGAAAUCACCACAGCCUCCUAUUCCUUCUCUUUCCAGAUGGAAACGUUCGUUUGUCUCUCACAGGCUAUAAUGAAGUUGUCAGCCAGGGCUGGGGUCUCAUCUGAAUGUUCAGCUGGAAGAGGAUGUGCUUCCAAGUUCACUCAGGGUAUUGACAGAAUUUAUUUUCCGAUGGGCUUUUCUCCUCGCCGGCGUCAGCUGGAGCCACCCUCGUGUUCCUUGUCAUGUGACACUCUCUCCAUAACAGAGCUGUCAACAUGAGCAGAAUGCUUCAUCAAAAUCAGCAAGGAAGAACAUCCACUAUUAAGAGACUUUCAUCUUCCGUUACAUAAUAACAGAAGUGACACCCUGUCAUCUGUGCCAUAGUCUAUAGGUUAAAGGCAAGUCACGGGGCCUGUCCACACUCAAGGGAAUUACACACGGGACUAGCACUAUUCCAGAUAUUGAUCAGCCUGAAUCCUGGAGCUGACUCACUCUAGGGCAUGGAGUUGGCAUUAUGGAGCCCAUUGUGCAAGAAAUAAGAUUCAGCAAUCUCGUAAUUGCAGAGACUACACCUCAACCCAUGUUUUCUGUUCCCAGGAGAAUUAUGAUUUGAGGAGGAGAUCUGGAGAUGCUUCGUACCAAGCAGCCUGUUGAGGACCUCACAGUGCUCAGGUUGCACACACUCUGAAUGUCUCUUCAACUUCAUCUUCAGCCCACAGGUAACAUCGAGGACCUGGUUUCUCUUAGCCUCUGGCACUACCUCCUACACGAAUGCUAACAUCCAUUCCUUUUCCAGUUGUAGAUCUCAGGGGCUGGAAUCUAACUAGGGUCCUGAGUAAACAAAGAGGGCUACAGCACAAAAUGCUACAUUGGGGCUUUUAGCCGUAGAUCACUCUAGCCCCGACAAACCACUGACCUUCUGCUCUGGCCAGCCAGACACCUGACCUUCCUCCAGAACCUUAUCUUGCCAUCUUUUACCCUUACGGAUACAUCUUCCACUAUCCAUUUUUCUAUUAUUACAUUUCUCUGUAUUCACCCUCCUCAUUAAAGUUAAUUUCUCUAAUUAUAGAAAAGAGAAUGAUUUGCUUCUCAAGUUUUCCUUCCAUGUGGAUUUCCUUCUCUCCAGUUCCUGCACCUCUUCUUUCCAAAGUCUUGCAUUUCUGAUUUCUCCUUUCUUUUGCACAUAUCAGACUCCUUCCUAACUUCUGUUUAAUCUCUUCCUUGUUAAAAGUCAACCCUUUCAAAUCUCUUUUCACUUUAGUCUCCCACCUGAAGGUCCCGGGCUUUCUUUCUUCACCAUCAUGUCCAGAGCACACCCUUGGGGCUAAGCUGAGGGCUCUGGUUCACAGACUAGGCAAAUGGCAGACAGCAGAUCAUGUUAUCUGCCAGUCUGCUCUUCUCCUAUCACAGCUGGGCCUGCUCAGAGAGCUGUCGUGAUCCAUCUAAACUCCUAUUCUGUACAUUGGCUCCUCCCAUCCCUGGCGUAUUUUCUUGAGAAUGGAAACCAUUAUUGUAAACACAAUUUCAAUGGAUGUUUGGUGGAGGAGGCAGGUUAGUGUGCGGGAUGGCCAAUGAUGAGCGUGGAGCAGAGGAAACAGAGCGGCAGGGAGAUGAGAAAAAUGUGGAUGAGAGACCAAUUACUGAUUUUUACUAUGGGAGUGUCCCAAUGCUUCACAAAAACCAAAGGAACAAGAGCAGUAAGGAGUCAUAGGAAUAAAGUUGCACAGAUCAUUUCUCUCCCGUAUAUAUACAUAUAUAUAUAACGUAUAUACAUAUAUGACACUAUAAAUACACAGCAACAUUAGAACAUAAACUGAUUUCAUAAUGUAUAAAAAUAUCAUAUCACUAUGUUGUCACCUGAAACUAAUAUAAUAUUGUAUGUCAAUUAUAAUUCAAUAAAAAAAUUUUUUAAGAGGACAUAAAUUGGAAGGGGAAUAAACAGAGUUCAAUUGUUCUAAGUAUCUACAUUUGACGAAUAAAUGGAAACAGCAUUAACAUAUAUUAGAGCUGAAUAUUAGAACUGAAUACGUACAAAUUACACGUUCUGUUGUCUAGGGUAACCACAAAAGGAUUAGUAGAGAACUGUAUAACUAACAAGUUAAGAGGAAGGAAAAAAGGAAUAUUAAAAAAUAUUCAGCCAAUUCAAACAUAUAUAAGAAAUAAGGAACAAAAAACAGGCAAGAGAAAUGGACAAGUUGUAAGAUAUCAAAUCUAUACACAAACAUGGCAACAUUUCAUUAACUGUUAAUAGACUAAAUAUUAUGCAAAAGGCAAAGAUUGGUAGAGUUUUUAAAAAACAAUAUGCUUAUACCAGAUAUACAAUUUAAAUAUAAGGAUACAGAAAUAUUGAAAGUAAAGGAAUGAAAAAAAUAUAUAUCACUCAAAUGCUAACGGAAAGAAAGCCGCCAUAGCUUUGUAGUUCUAGCUCUACUAACCCUGGACAAAAUAGACUUGGGGAGUGGUUAACAGCAAUAAGGAGGGAAAAUCCACCAAUUAUUUUAAUUUAUAUAUCAGUAACAAAUAUUGACGUUUGUCCUUUAUAUGAAAAUGCAGUCCUCCAUAUUUCUAAACUAAGGAUAUAUAUGAAAUAAAAUAUUCUCUAUUAUCAGAAAAGAACAUCUUUUUAACAUCAAAAUAAGAAAUUACACUAUGUCAGCUCCACUGUGCUCUCAGUUCCAAGACUCCAUGGUUCUGUGAUUCUGAGUUUCCAUGGUUUUGCAAGCCUCUGAUUCCAAUCCAAGACAGUCCAUAUUCUGGAGGAUAUGAAGCCAUUUUCACUGUUCUGACUGGGAAUUCCUGUGGCGAUAUUUUGGUGAUACUGGUGUGGGUCAUGGUAAAGGAAAGAAAGGUGACUUUCAAAGGAAAAGUAGCAAACAGUGAGCCAGCCCUGAUGGCCUAGUGGUUUAAAGUUCGGUGCUCUCACCACUUCAGCAGCCCAGGUUCGUUUCCCAGUUGCGGAAGCA